rnacentral:rRNA from 1 species
ACCCUUGUCAUUAGUUGCUACGCAAGAGCACUCUAAUGAGACUGCCGGUGACAAACCGGAGGAAGGUGGGGAUGACGUCAAGUCCUCAUGGCCCUUAUGGGUAGGGCUUCACACGUCAUACAAUGGUACAUACAGAGGGCCGCCAACCCGCGAGGGGGAGCUAAUCCCAGAAAGUGUAUCGUAGUCCGGAUCGUAGUCUGCAACUCGACUACGUGAAGUUGGAAUCGCUAGUAAUCGCGGAUCAGCAUGCCGCGGUGAAUACGUUCCCGGGUCUUGUAC